CAGAAAGUAGUUUAAUUUAGAAUGCCAGCUUUGGGAGUUGGUGGUAAAGGUUUAAUUCCUUUUUUUCUGA
rnacentral:tRNA from 1 species